CCUACGGGAGGCAGCAGUGGGGAAUUUUGCGCAAUGGGGGAAACCCUGACGCAGCAACGCCGCGUGGGUGAAGAAGCAUCUUGGNGUGUAAAGCCCUGUCGUUAGAGACUAAGGACGGUUGAUUAAGAGUUACUCGUNUUGAANGUAUCUAAAGAGGAAGCCCCGGCUAACUCCG
rnacentral:rRNA from 1 species